GCAAAAAUGCCCAAAAUCUUAAAAAAAAAUCUAAUAAAUUGUACAGGUUUGGAACAGUUAUAGAUUAUGACAGUCUGUUUAAGCCUUAAAAAUAUGAAUCAUUUAAAAGGUAAUUAAAAAGUUUUAUCUCUGAAUUCUGACUUAUUUCUCUCACAAUUAUGGAUUUAUAACUCAAAAUUAGUGUUUUAUUUUUAUUUAUUUAUAUUGCAGUUUUGUGAAAAAUUCUGAUAGAAUUGUGAGAUAUAAACUCACAAUAUUGUGAAAAAAAGAAUUGUGAAAAAAAAGUGAGUUGUAAACACAGGAGUCAGAAUUGUGAGUUGUGAGGCAAAAGAAAGUCUGAAUUCAGAGUUGCGAGAAACAAAGUCUGAAUUGUCAAAUAUAAACCAAGAACUGCCAGGACUACCUGCGGAAUAGGCUUCUAUAUGAGUUCCUUUAAUUAACUAUCAUUAGAGGAACAAAUCAUCCAAAAUUGAACAUUUAGUCUCAUUUUUUUUUCCAGACUUUGGAAGUAAAUGGCUACCAUCGGCUGUUUGGUUACCAGCAUUCUUCAAAAUAUCCUCUUUUGUGUUCAUUAGAAAAAGAAACUCAAACAGGUUUGGAACAACAUGAGGGUGAGAAAAUGAAGACAGAAUUUUCAUUUUUGGGUGAACUAUCCCUUUAAACUUCAGUGCAAGGCUUGAUCACACCAAGGACGAAAACUAUGACAAUAACGACAACCAGGUUUCUGGCAGCCAAUCAGAGCUGAAGCAUUUCAAGCGUUAGACGACAUAGGCCUAAAACCAUGUGCUAUACUAAAUGGAUGAAAUAUUAUUUUUUAUUGCAUGGAUUGGAUUGUUUUACCAUCCCAGAUCAGUGCGACUAACUUAGUCCUUCUUCCCAGUAGCAAUAUGGUCUAUUUUGUGCAUUUAUAUAUGUGUCACUUUCAGCCACAGGUAAAAACCAGCUACAUCUGCGGUCGCGCUCUUAGUCAUAUCUCCAUAGCAACAGCUUGUGACCUCAGAGCACUUCGCUACUGAGUUAUUAACAGAUCAUCUGAUUACCGUACUAUAUAUGAUCAUAGAAAUUGAUAUUUAGACAACAGUUAAGACAAUCACUGUUGUGCUGCAUUGAAACCAAGUGUUAACCUCAUACGCUCUUGUAAAUAAAGAUUCCGAAAAGGGGAUUUUCACAGUGAGUGAUGCCAUAGAAGCACCAUUUGAUUCCCUAAAGAUCUUUCAUCUUUCACAGUUCUUAAAAGAGCAAUUUAGUCAUCAAAAGUACCUUAUAACUGUAAAGAAUCUUUUGUGCUGUAAGAAGGUUCCACGGUUCUUCACAGAAGAAUGGAUGCCAAAGAACUUUUAAGAAUGUAAGGCCACGUUCACACAGCAGCAGAAUACGGUUACAGUCCUGAAUUUGAGCCCUUAAUACAGUUCUGUUCACACACAGUAUGGUUAUCUACAGGUGUGACAACCGCAUUCUGUCACCGAAAUCACACCUGUGAAGUUUCAGGAUUCACAACCGCAUUUUCGAAACACAGGCAAUGUGCGAACAGAACAGGACUGGACAACUAGUUGUCCGUAUCAUAAUAGUGUGGGAGAGAGGUGUUUUGCUGCGAAAACGUGCAUCUACUAUGUGUUUUCAUGUGUGGUAAAGAUCAGAAACUUACAGUAAUAGGGAAAUUAACUUUGUGUCAUCUGAAAGUUUUCUGAAAUUCGGUCAGUUUUUUCUCCACCAGAGCCGCUCCCGUCAGUUUUGUGUUCUGCGCAUGAUUUAAAUGCUCUCUCUCUACCCGAAUACAAAAGCUGCUGUCGUUUAAUGAAGAUCUGAUUGGAUGAACUCGCUGCUCGAUUGGACUGUUGUUGUUGUGGGACUCUUGUCUUGUCAGAAAGUGAUAAGGCUUUAAGUUUUAUGGAUGUCGCCAUCUUUUUUAUAUUACUUUAAUCACUUUGACUCCCAUUGCACGUUCAAACAGACAGCAUUCGAGACGCUACUGUAAGCUGCUGCAAAGACUAUACAAAGACAGUUCACUUCCUGCCCAUUAGGUGGCAGUAAUGCACCUAUAGUUUGUUUUUCAACCACCAAAAACUCCUAAAGAAGAAGUGGAAGAAGAAACCUGAGGCUAGACCGGGGGGCAGGGUUUCAUAUUUUAUUGAAGCAUCCCUGGGCGCCGCCAAUGGCUAGCGGACCCCCACUUGCUGUUAGCAUUCCAUUGACUCCCAUUCAUUUUGGCGUCACUUUGAAAGCGAAUAAAUUUACAUCUGAGGCGUUUAAAGACUCCAUUUGUCCAUUCAUUAUUUAUAAAGAAAAACGAAAUUGUAUGAAAGACCCCAUUACCUUGUAUCUUACGUUAUGGUCCCGUAGAAGCAGUUUUUGUAAAAAAAUAGGCUAACGAUUGUGUCAUAACCAGUGACUCUCUGUCGCACAGACUUAGAGAAAUUACCGUAUGGACAAGAGGAGAAGCUCGCAGAUAAUCUUUUACUGUCUAUGGGGCAAUCGGGGGGACGUGGAGGCAUGAAGUCAAGGGAGAUAAUUAAUCUGAAUACUUACCAAAAUUUGCUCCUGUUCACGCUCGCCUUCUCUGGAAGAUUCGGUGGGUGAUUCAGAUUUCUUUUGGCACAGCUAUUAGAAGACUUACAACGGUCAGACAGGUUGCUCACGUGACAUCUACGUCAUCAAGUUCAGUUUGAGUCUGCGCAGUACGCUCGACCCCCAGGAAGUGUGUGCUUCUAAUUGACUUCACUUGUCUCCGUUGAAUCCAAUGAGGUCGCUGUGUCCAUUUCUUUUACUGUCUAUGAAGCAAACGCAGCUGAAUGAACCUGA